rnacentral:rRNA from 1 species
UACAGAGGGAGCGAGCGUUGUUCGGAAUUACUGGGCGUAAAGGGCGCGUAGGCGGUCCGAUAAGUCCCGUGUGAAAUCCCUCGGCUCAACUGAGGAAUGGCACGGGAAACUGACGGGCUUGAGUUCGGGAGAGGGAAGCGGAAUUCCGGGUGUAGCGGUGAAAUGCGUAGAUAUCCGGAGGAGCACCGGUGGCGAAGGCGGCUUCCUGGACCGACACUGACGCUGAGGCGCGAAAGCUAGGGGAGCAAACGGG